GGGGGGCAAGCGUUGUUCGGAAUUACUGGGCGUAAAGGGCUCGUAGGCGGCCAACUAAGUCAGACGUGAAAUCCCUCGGCUUAACCGGGGAACUGCGUCUGAUACUGGAUGGCUUGAGUUUGGGAGAGGGAUGCGGAAUUCCAGGUGUAGCGGUGAAAUGCGUAGAUAUCUGGAGGAACACCGGUGGCGAAGGCGGGAUCCUGGGCCAGUACUGACGCUGAGGCACGAAAGCUAGGGGAGCAAACAGG
rnacentral:rRNA from 1 species